rnacentral:rRNA from 1 species
UUCGUAGGCGGUGCGGUAAGUCGGAAGUGAAAUCUCUGGGCUUAACUCAGAGGCUGCUUUCGAAACUACCGUGCUAGAGUGCGGGAGAGGCGAGUGGAAUUGCAGGUGUAGCGGUGAAAUGCGUAGAUAUCUGCAGGAACACCCGUGGCGAAGGCGGCUCGCUGGACCGCAACUGACGCUGAGGAACGAAAGCUAGGGGAGCAAACAGGAUUAGAUACCCUGGUAGUCCUAGCCCUAAACGAUCAGGACUGGGCGUGGGCCUCGUACGGGGCUCGUGCCGCAGCUAACGCGUUAAGUCCUGCGCCUGGGGAGUACGGUCGCAAGGCUGAA